AGAUUAAAUAAUUAAGGUAUUAAUAUUUCAAACCAUUAUAUAAUGGCGGUCACUAUAUAUUAGAGAAACUCGCUUCAUAAUCGUAAACACCCGAUAAUUUUCACUUAAAUUAAUAAGUUUAUAUACCGCCGUUAAGAAUUAUACUUCUAAAUAAUACAAAGCUUAAAUCAAACAAAAAUCAGGUCAAGGUGUAACUAAUAUUUAAGAGAAAGUAAGUUACAUUAAAAACAAUUUAAGGAAUCACAAUAAAAAUUAAACCAAAAAAGAAUUUAUAUGUACAAACUAACUAAAAUUUAGUAUAGAAAUUAAAAAUAGUGAUGC
rnacentral:rRNA from 1 species